rnacentral:lncRNA from 1 species
CACCUGUGUUGCUGCCAACCAGGAUGGCAGCUUGAUCCUAACUGGCUCUGUGGACUGCCAGGCCAAGCUGGUCAGUGCCACCACCGGCAAGGUGGUGGGUGUUUUUAGACCUGAGACUGUGGCCUCCCAGCCCAGCCUGGGAGAAGGGGAGGAGAGUGAGUCCAACUCGGUGGAGUCCUUGGGCUUCUGCAGUGUGUGAGUGAGGAUGGGGAAAGGGGUUUGUGGGAGGGGCCUGGGCUGGGGGCCCGGGAGGACGGCAGGGCGUGUGAGUCCAGGCCCUCAUGAGUCUUCAUGGUACGCUCCUCUGGCCAGGAUGCCCCUGGCAGCUGUUGGCUACCUGGAUGGGACCUUGGCCAU